rnacentral:rRNA from 1 species
UUCCUACGGGGGGCAGCAGUGGGGGAUAUUGCACAAUGGGGGCAACCCUGAUGCAGCGACGCCGCGUGAGCGAUGGAGUACUUCGGUAUGUAAAGCUCUGUCAGCAGGGAAGAGAAUGACGGUACCUGACCAAGAAGCCCCGGCUAAAUACGUGCCAGCAGCCGGGGUAAUACGUAGGGGGCAAGCGUUAUCCGGAUUUACUGGGUGUAAAGGGGGCGCAGACGGCAAUGCAAGCCAGGAGUGAAAGCCCGGGGCCCAACCCCGGGACUGCUCUGGG